CCUGACGUCAUCCAACAGGAAGGGUCAGCCCUAAGGGAGGAGACAGAAGCCUGGGCCAGGCCACACGAGUCCCUGGCCCGGGAGGAGGCCCUCGCUGCACUUGGGAAGCUCCUGUACCUCUUAGAUGGGAUGCUGGAUGGGCAGGUGAACAGUGGUAUAGCAGCCACUCCAGCCUCUGCUGCAGCAGCCACCCUGGAUGUGGCUAUUCGGAGAGGCCUGUCUCAUGGAGCCCAGAGGCUGCUGUGUGUGGCCCUGGGACAGCUGGACCGGCCUCCGGACCUCGCCCAUGACGGGUAGGACUCUCAGGUCUUGCAUCUGUCCAGCCAUGCAUGUAGACGGGCAGGUGAUGGACGUGUGCCUGGGCCCCAGGGUGACGGGUGGGUGGGGCACUGCGUGGUACUGAAUGGAGCCUUCCUCAGCUGGGGUUUGGGAGAAGGGCUGCUGGAGGCAAUGCCAGGUGGGUCUCUAGCACAGAGGCUCAGCAGUCACAGCACCCCUGCCCAUGGCCCCAUGAAUGUUCUUCCACCUUUGCCUCUGCGGUCUGGGCUCAGGAGGGUGAGCAGGGCCUUACACUUACGCACAUGUGUCCUGAAAGGAGGAGUCUGUGGCUGAACAUCAGGGGCAAGGAGGCGGCUGCCCUAUCCAUGUUCCAUGUCUCCACGCCACUGCCAGCGAUGACCGGUGGUUUCCUGAGCUGCAUCUUGGGCUUGGUGCUGCCCCUGGCCUACAGCUUCCAGCCUGACCUGGUGCUGGUGGCGCUGGGGCCUGGCCAUGGCCUGCAGGGCCGCCACGCUGCACUCCUGGCUGCAAUGCUUCGGGGGCUGGCAGGGGGCCGAGUCCUGGCCCUCCUGGAGGAGGUAAGCUGGGCAGGGUGGAGGUGCUGUGGGGUGGGACGAGGGGAAGGACCAGUGACGGCUUCCGUCUUCGCCCCUGGUCCAGGACUCCACGCCCCAGCUAGCAGGGAUCCUGGCCCGGG
rnacentral:sRNA from 1 species